rnacentral:tRNA from 1 species
AGAGAUUUAAGUUAAAAAAACUAAUAGCCUUCAAAGCUUUAAAUGAUUAAGAAUCAAUCUUUACCCCAC